rnacentral:rRNA from 1 species
AGAGUUUGAUCCUGGCUCAGGAUGCACGCUGGCGGCGUGCCUAAUACAUGCAAGUCGGACGCUUUGUGCUUAAUUGAUAUGACGAGCUUGCUCUGAUUUGAUUUUUUGAUUCCAAAGAGUGGCGCACGGGUGAGUAACACGUGGGUAACCUACCUCUUAGCAGGGGAUAACAUUUGGAAACAAGUGCUAAUACCGUAUAAUACCAACAACCGCAUGGUUGUUGGUUGAAAGAUGGUUCUGCUAUCACUAAGAGAUGGACCCGCGGUGCAUUAGCUAGUUGGUAAGGUAAUGGCUUACCAAGGCAAUGAUGCAUAGCCGAGUUGAGAGACUGAUCGGCCACAAUGGGACUGAGACACGGCCCAUACUCCUACGGGAGGCAGCAGUAGGGAAUCUUCCACAAUGGGCGCAAGCCUGAUGGAGCAACGCCGCGUGUGUGAUGAAGGGUUUCGGCUCGUAAAACACUGUUAUAAGAGAAGAACGGCACUGAGAGUAACUGUUCAGUGUGUGACGGUAUCUUACCAGAAAGGAACGGCUAAAUACGUGCCAGCAGCCGCGGUAAUACGUAUGUUCCAAGCGCUAUCCGGAUUUAUUGGGCGUAAAGCGAGCGCAGACGGUUAUUUAAGUCUGAAGUGAAAGCCCUCAGCUCAACUGAGGAAUUGCUUUGGAAACUGGAUGACUUGAGUGCAGUAGAGGAAAGUGGAACUCCAUGUGUAGCGGUGAAAUGCGUAGAUAUAUGGAAGAACACCAGUGGCGAAGGCGGCUUUCUGGACUGUAACUGACGUUGAGGCUCGAAAGUGUGGGUAGCAAACAGGAUUAGAUACCCUGGUAGUCCACACCGUAAACGAUGAGUGCUAGACGUUCGAGGGUUUCCGC